GCUGGGCUUGGUAGCGUGAGCCUGUAACCUAAGUGGGAGCAUUAAGAUGGUGGAAUAGUUGGCCUUUCCCUGAAGGCUGGGCCUUGGUUGCUAUCUACUGGCUUGCCCGUUCCAAGUGGUGAGUUGUGCCAUAGACUCUCUACGAAGGCGUAGGGUUCUCGGUCCUUAGAUUGGAGGGCACCGCGUGAGGCUAGCUUCACAGAGCAGCGAAAACCUCCUCCUCUCUGUAGUGGAAGGAUAACGGGCCGGUGCAUCCUCUACCCACUAGCACCUGAUGGGCUGUCCAAAUUGAACCACCAUCUUU
rnacentral:SRP_RNA from 1 species